rnacentral:rRNA from 1 species
UACGGAGGGCGCAAGCGUUGUUCGGAAUCACUGGGCGUAAAGCGCGUGCAGGCGGCUUGGUAAGUCGGGUGUGAAAUCCCGGAGCUCAACUCCGGAACUGCACCCGAUACUGCCUCGCUAGAGUCCCGGAGAGGAUGGCGGAAUUUCCGGUGUAGAGGUGAAAUUCGUAGAUAUCGGAAGGAACACCAGCGGCGAAGGCGGCCAUCUGGACGGUGACUGACGCUCAGACGCGAAAGCGCGGGGAGCAAACAGG